UAGGGAAUUUUCGUCAAUGGGCGCAAGCCUGAACGAGCAAUGCCACGUGAACGAGGAAGGUCUUCGGAUCGUAAAGUUCUGUUGAAGGGGAAAAAGAGCGGAGAGAGGAAAUGGUCUCCGAUUGAUAUUACCCUUCGAGGAAGUCACGGCUAACUACGUGCC
rnacentral:rRNA from 1 species